rnacentral:misc_RNA from 1 species
AACGCACCUUGCACCCUUUGGCAUUCCGAAGGGUAUGCUCGUUUGAGUGUCAUUGUACUCUCACUCUCCCGAUGCUUUUGGAUCGGGAGUGGUGGACUUGGGUGUUGCUGCUUCACUGUGGCUCGCCUCAAAUGGAGUAGUGCAACUCUUGGUUGGACAUAGUACGGCGUGAUAAGUAUCUUCGCCGGCGCCUCACUAGAGGGUGGCCGAUCGGGAGCUCUGUGCUUCAAACCGUCUUCGGACAACAUCUGACAACUUGACCUCAAAUCGAGUAGGACUACCCGCUGAACUUAA